AGUGAACGCUGGCGGUAGGCCUAACACAUGCAAGUCGAACGGCAGCACAGUAAGAGCUUGCUCUUACGGGUGGCGAGUGGCGGACGGGUGAGGAAUACAUCGGAAUCUACUUUUUCGUGGGGGAUAACGUAGGGAAACUUACGCUAAUACCGCAUACGACCUACGGGUGAAAGCAGGGGAUCUUCGGACCUUGCGCGAUUGAAUGAGCCGAUGUCGGAUUAGCUAGUAGGCGGGGUAAAGGCCCACCAAGGCGACGAUCCGUAGCUGGUCUGAGAGGAUGAUCAGCCACACUGGAACUGAGACACGGUCCAGACUCCUACGGGAGGCAGCAGUGGGGAAUAUUGGACAAUGGGCGCAAGCCUGAUCCAGCCAUACCGCGUGGGUGAAGAAGGCCUUCGGGUUGUAAAGCCCUUUUGUUGAGAAAGAAAAGCAGCAGGUUAAUACCCCGCUGUUCUGACGGUACCCAAAGAAUAAGCACCGGCUAACUUCGUG
rnacentral:rRNA from 1 species